rnacentral:rRNA from 1 species
CGCGCAGGUGGGAUAUUAAGUCUGGUGUUAAAGUUCGGGGCUCAACCCCGUGAAGCAUUUGGAAACUGAUAUUCUUGAGUGCAGGAGAGGAAAGUGGAAUUCCUAGUGUAGCGGUGAAAUGCGUAGAUAUUAGGAGGAACACCAGUGGCGAAGGCGACUUUCUGGACUGUGUCUGACACUGAGGCGCGAAAGCUAGGGUAGUGAACAGGAUUAGAUACCCUGGUAAUCCUAGCUGUAAACGAUGGGUACUAGGUGUUGGGGGUAUCGACCCCUCCAGUGCCGGAGUUAACGCAAUAAGUACCCCGCCUGGGGAGUACGGCCGCAAGGUUGAA